GACGAACGCUGGCGGCGUGCUUAACACAUGCAAGUCGAGCGGUAAGGCUCCUUCGGGAGUACACGAGCGGCGAACGGGUGAGUAACACGUGAGCAAUCUGCCCUUCACAUCGGGAUAAGCACCGGAAACGGUGUCUAAUACCGAAUACGACCACUUCCGGCAUCGGAUGGUGGUGGAAAGUUCCGGCGGUGAAGGAUGAGCUCGCGGCCUAUCAGCUUGUUGGUGAGGUAACGGCUCACCAAGGCUUCGACGGGUAGCCGGCCUGAGAGGGUGACCGGCCACACUGGGACUGAGACACGGCCCAGACUCCUACGGGAGGCAGCAGUGGGGAAUAUUGGACAAUGGGCGAAAGCCUGAUCCAGCAACGCCGCGUGAGGGAUGACUGCCUUCGGGUUGUAAACCUCUUUCAGCAGGGACGAAGCGCAAGUGACGGUACCUGCAGAGGAAGCACCGGCCAACUACGUGCCAGCCGCCGCUGUAACAC
rnacentral:rRNA from 1 species